rnacentral:lncRNA from 1 species
AUGUUCUACCAUUUGUUGUGUUGCUGUGGUUGUUCUGGCCAAGGAGGGAGAUGGACGUCUGUCUUGUGCUUCCCAAGCCAAUCACGAAUUGCCUGCAACCAAAAGAGUCUCUGUCUUGACUGGGCUCCCCUAAACGUUUGGCCAGUAUGUCAAGGCUGUCAAGCUGCAACUCUUAGUGAUCCAACAAAGCUGCUAUUAAGACCGAGGAGCUUUUUGAACAAGUCAGGGAUAAAGUGGUGGUGGAAGCACGGAGCAGGACAAGGGUACAAGAACAUUUCAAAGCCUCUGAAUAUCCCUCUCAGCACAGUCAACAUUGGUAUCGCAGCACCCGAACACUACCCAGAUCAGAUCACCUUCCCACACUGAGUACCCAGGUAAGCACGAAGCUGGUUUAGAAUGUCACUUUGUGGCCAGCAAUGACCUCGACAGAUCUGCCAAGUUCUGCACCCGAGAUGGGAGUCAGUGCCCGCAUAUCCACAAUAUUAUUUAACAGCCAUUGUUGAAAAUAAACUCAUCUUAAAUCACUUUUGAGAUAUACUGCAUACAUGAGCCACUUGUGGUCAGAUGGGACAAAAAUUGACGUUUUUGGUAUAAAUUCAAAGCGUUACGUCUGCACUAAGCCCAAUACAGCAUAAAAACAAGUCAACACAGAUCACCGCAAGUGUCAAGCAUGAUCGUGACUGCUUUAUGUUAUGGUGGAUGCCUCCUGUCAGCUGGGUUUGGGAAGCUUGUCAAGAGCGAGGGGGAAAUGAUACAAAGCAUAUGCAAAUCCCAGAGAACAACCUGCUUGAGGCAGUCCAAGAAAAUCCAAGACAAAUGGGAUAAAAUUUACAUUAUUUCAUAGUGAAUGGUCCUUGGGUAUCCCAGUCAAAGUCCUCACCUUGAUACAAUACAAAAUAUACAUUUCAAAGACUUGAGAUUUGCAGUCCAUCAUUGAUCCCCAGCUAACUUGUCAGAAUUGAAGCAAUUGUACCAGGAGGAAUGGGCACACAUUACACUGUCCCAUUGUGUAGCGCUGGUAGAGACCUAUCCAAAAAUGCAGAUAGUAUUAACUGCCAAAGGUGCUUCCACCAGGUAUUGACCUUGGGAGCUACAUACAUUUGCAAUCAUUAAAGUUCAGUUUGAAUAUCUUCUUUGUAGAAAUGGUUUUGUAGAAAUCCUCCCCAUCGUGUCACAGUGUUCAGUUUAGCUGCAUUCUUUGAAUGAAAAAGUUUGUUUGAAAACCUGUGCAUAUGUUACACAAAAAGUGACAAUACGAGUCACCACCAUAAGCUUAACAACAAGACUGAAAAAAAUGUUAAGCGUCAUUUUUAGAAUUUUUUUUUCAGUGCUUUGGUCUGUUAAUGGAGCUGCUUGCGAUAGAUGUGAGCACUUUCAAUGCACACUGCAACGUAGGUAAAAUCACUCUAGUCAUGGACCAAUCAAAUGUAAUAAAGUGCUUUUUCAUAAUCUUGCCAGCUAUGAAACACACAACAAUUGGUGUUCCAAGCAUUUUCUUGAUUUAGAGAGGCCACUUAUCCCAUUGUUUGGCACAGAUAUGUUAUGGCUUCUAGUCAAGCAUGCCAGAAUAUAGAGUGUCCUUGGGCACAAUGCCUGUCAUACCAUUUAUGACCAACCUGUGAUAUACUGGUUGUUUUUAUUGUUUUUGAAAAUCUUAUCAUUGAAUUUUACAAUAUAUUAUUUUCACAAAUGAUGGCACCUGCUCUGUAUCAUCUGUGAUGUUUUUAACUUGCACAUUUAAAAAUUAAACACACAAUUUUAUUUUCAGUACUAAUAAAAUGACUGCAAAGUAGUUGUCAGAACAUGUAAAAGAAAUGUCACCAUUAAAACAUAUGGAAUUGUCAAAGCAGGCACAUCACAUGUCAAAUUUAACACGGUUUGAAUCAGCCACUGACAGUUUAAAUUAGUAGGGAAGGGAAACACAAAGAUGGUAAAAUGUGGUAUAUUAAGCUCAUAAACUUACUUAAGAAGUAUUUGCUGAGGCAAAACUAGUAUUUUCUCAUGUAAUACUGCAUGCAAUUUAAAAUUGUUUGACUCUUUGAAAUAUGAAAUUAUAAAAAAUACAUUCAUUGACUUUUAAUUCAGCAUCAAAGUUGUAUUUUCCAGAAGGCUAAUGAAUUUCAAUGGUGUCAUUUAGUAUAAAUAGUAGAUUUAGUAUAAAUCUUCACCAUCCUUCUUUACAUUUUUAAUUAUCCUAAUUAGUUACCCAGAUCAUCCACAUUCCAGUUCUCUCCCUGCAUCCUCUACCCUCCCACCACAGUACACCAGGAGUAUAAAACUAUACUGUUUCUGUGACUCAAGCUCCAUGUGUAAUUGAUUUAUUAAUGUCAAGGAAAAAUAGAAACAGUUAUGUGCUGUGUUUGAUCAAAACUUGGCAAACUAUCAAAAUACAGCUCAUGUUAGAACUGGCUACUACUGCUGUUUGUAAGCCAUGUACUGUACCUCAGGAGUAAAUGUUAUUGUUGUUUCCAACUUAUUCUGCUCAUGAUUUUAUAUUUUUUUCUGCUGUUCCUCCUCUAAAUGUUCAAUUUGAGCCUUUUCUGUACGGGAUCCUAAAAACGUAGAGAAUAAUUUUGCUCUGUGUUUACCUGAUCCAGCUGGCUGAGAGGCAAAGUUGCUGUUCAGAAAGAUCCGAGAUCUGACCUGAUUUUCUUACAACUUUUUACCUACCUGUCUGCUCCGUUUGCUUUCCCUCAACUGGUAUGCUAUAUUUUUCAUUUUGGGUGAAGCUAACAUUUGUAUUGAUUAUCUUCUCACUACUACAUUUCUGUAAAUUGAACUCUCCCAUUCAAACUUUCAUCCUUUUUAUGUGUUUGGGUGAGCGUCUAGCCCGUUGACAUUAUACAGUUGGAGACAUAAUCACUUUUGAUAUUACAUUUUGUGCUUUCAAUUGGUGUUGCCCUUGCCUUGUAUAUUACUAAACUUAGACAAAUCUUAUCUCAUCUGACCUGUAUCAUGCUAAGCACGUCACUUCUUUUUCCACUGUGGACUGUACUGAAGAUGCAGCACUGGUGUAAAGGUUUACCUCAUAAAAUAUUAUUGAUUUGGUAGGCCCUUUGAAAAUGUGGUGGGUGAAGCCAAAUCAAAACUGACCCUGCUACUGCCUGAACCUCAGGGAGCUUAACACUAAAGGCAACAUGCUUGAGUGGCAGUGGAGGGCAUCCUGAACUGCUGUUCAUCUAGGUAUUUGGACCAAACAGCUCAACUUCUUAUCAAGAGGCUCUCACAGCUGACAAGAUGAAAUAUUACUCUGAGAUCACAGCAAGACAUUAGAGCAGCCAUAGGAGUCUUUUCAGAAAUUGUGACAGAUGCCUGUACACUCUGAGCAGAGGAAAGAUGUACCCACUUUGCUUUGACUUGCAUUGAUUUACUUUUCCUUUUCUGGAAGGAAUUGAAUUAGUUUGUACCCUGCUCUGUUCCACCCUUUUACAGCAGGUUUUGUGGCUGUAGCUUCUCGACUCUAUUUCCCUCUUUGGGCACAGGAUCUAAUUACAUAUUAAAUUUAAUGCACAAAGAAGGUCUGUGAUUUUGUCUUAUCCCUUGUGUAAAUGUAAUAUUUCUAGAACCUCCAUGAAUGUCUAAUUUUGUUCUUCUGCAACUGCGAUAACAAUACACUGACGCAACACAGUGAAAAGUUCAUUGAUAGUAUAUCAUGGAAAGAUUCCAUAUAAAAUUUAAAACAUGCUUUUC